UUAUAAGAGACAGCAGCAGCCGCGGGAAUACGAAGGGUGCAAGCGUUACUCGGAAUUACUGGGCGUAAAGCGUGCGUAGGUGGUGGUUUAAGUCCGUUGUGAAAGCCCUGGGCUCAACCUGGGAAUUGCAGUGGAUACUGGGUCACUAGAGUGUGGUAGAGGAUAGUGGAAUUUCCGGUGUAGCAGUGAAAUGCGUAGAGAUCGGAAGGAACAUCUGUGGCGAAGGCGACUAUCUGGGCCAACACUGACACUGAGGCACGAAAGCGUGGGGAGCAAACAGGAUUAGAUACCCCCGUAGUCCCUGUCUCUUAUAA
rnacentral:rRNA from 1 species